rnacentral:rRNA from 1 species
UGCGGCGGUCAUAGCGGCGGGGAAACGCCCGGAUCCCUUUCCGAACCCGGAAGCUAAGCCCGCCAGCGCCGAGGGUACUGCCGGGGCGACCCGGCGGGAGAGCAGGACACCGCCGCAC